rnacentral:sRNA from 1 species
AGUUUACAUGAUUUAGGCAUUCAUUCUUCAUCACUUUCACAUUGUUUCACCCGCAUUUCAUCUAAUUAAUAGCCGUUUUAAUAUGUUUUGCAUACUUAGGACGAUUUUGCAUUAGGAUUGCAUGUGCAUUGCAUAUUGGGUCGUUUUUAGGUGCU